GACGAACGCUGGCGGCGUGCUUAACACAUGCAAGUCGAACGGACAGCCCCUUCGUUUGGGGUGAGUUGGGGAGGGGUGCGUGAGAGGUGGACAAGCGGACCCCGGCCCUGGGAUAACUACAAGACUUUGGAACUCAUACCGUAAGUUCACCGCUUCUCCUGUGGCUGGUGGUGGAAAGGGUAGUCGCGUGGUGAUGGGCUCGACGCUUAUCAGCUUGUCGGUGGUGUAGUGGCAUACCAAGCCCAGGACUGGUAGCCGGCCAGAGAGGGUGACCGGCCACACUGGGACUGAGAGACGGACCAGACGCGUACGGGAGGCAGCAGUGGGGAAUAUUGCGCAAUGGGCGGAAGCCUGACGCAGCGACGUCGCGUGCGGGAUGACGGCCUUCGGGUUGUAAACAUCUUUCAGCAGGGACGAAGCGCAAGUGACGGUACCUGCUGAAGAAGCACCGGCUAACUACGUG
rnacentral:rRNA from 1 species